rnacentral:lncRNA from 1 species
CAGCUCCUUUCUGCUUCUGAGGACCCAUACAGGACUGCAACAUCAACAUCUAGAGCAGAACAGUGAGGAUCACGGCUUGGAAUACAGCAACAGCAAAAGGAUACAGAAAAGAGAAGAAACGGGAAAGCAAAUUAUCUGGGGGCUCAUUGCCUGCAGCUCCUGUCAUCUGCCCCACCAGCAGCAGAAGUGUGGUGCCCACAUAUAAACACUGAGGCUAAGCAGUUUCAGACCUGGAUGAAAGAUGUCUUGUCUGAGUCAGCAGUGCUCUUCUCCAGCAUUUUGCAAGGUGUUUUCUCCUGCUGGCAAAAUCAGAAAUAAUAACAACUUAUCAAGGUUUUUAAAGGGACAACACUUUGGUCUCUAAUGGAAAUUUACUUCCAUUCCACCUUGUUAAGAGUUUG